UGUCGUUGAAAAGACUUCGGAUGACCUGAGGGUAGGGGUGAAAGGCCAAUCAAACCCGGAAAUAGCUCGUACUCCCCGAAAUGCAUUUAGGUGCAGCGUUGAUAUAGUUAAAUAGAGGUAGAGCUACUGAUUGGAUGCGGGGGUUUCACCGCCUACCAAUUCCUGACAAACUCCGAAUGCUAAUAAAUAUUGAUCAGCAGUGAGGGCAUGGGUGCUAAGGUCCAUGUCCGAGAGGGAAAGAACCCAGACCAACAGCUAAGGUCCCUAAAUAUAUGCUAAGUUGAAACAACGCGGUUGAACUGCAUUGACAGCUAGGAUGUUGGCUUGGAAGCAGCCAUUCAUUUAAAGAGUGCGUAACAGCUCACUAGUCGAGCGGUUCGGCAUGGAUAAUAAUCGGGCAUAAGCAUAUUACCGAAGCUAUGGCAACGAAAGUUGGGUAGGGGAGCAUUCUAUCGGCGCAGAAGCAUCACUGUGAGGUGUUGUGGAGCUUAUAGAAAAGAAAAUGUAGGCAUAAGUAACGAUAAAGCAGGCGAGAAACCUGCUCACCGAAAGACUAAGGGUUCCUCAGCCAUGCUAAUCAGCUGAGGGUUAGUCGGGGCCUAACGCGAACCCGAGAGGGGAAGUGGAUGGACAAUGGGUUAAUAUUCCCAUACUUGCUCACGAAUAAAGGUGACGGUUCAGCCAGACUACUGGAGACUGACGGAAUAGUCAAGACCUAGCCUACGGGCGAAGUUGUUGUAGAGUAACUGGAUCCAAGAAAAGCCGAAGUGAAGCAACCCGUACCAUAAACCGACACAGGUAGUCGAGGAGAGAAUCCUAAGGUGCUCGAGUGAGUCGUGGCUAAGGAACUAGGCAAAAUAGUCUCGUAACUUCGGAAUAAGAGACGCCAACAGUAAUGUUGGCCGCAGUGAAGAGGCCCAGGCGACUGUUUAUCAAAAACACAGGACUCUGCUAAAUCGAAAGAUGCUGUAUAGGGUCUGACACCUGCCCGGUGCUGGAAGGUUAAGGAAGGUGCUUAGCGUAAGCGAAGGCAUUGACUGAAGCCCCAGUAAACGGCGGCCGUAACUAUAACGGUCCUAAGGUAGCGAAAUUCCUUGUCGGGUAAGUUCCGACCUGCACGAAUGGUGUAACGAUCUGGGCACUGUCUCAGCCACGAGCUCGGUGAAAUUGUAGUAUCGGUGAAGAUGCCGAUUACCCGCAAUGGGACGAAAAGACCCUGUGAACCUUUACUAUAACUUCGUAUUGACUUUGAGUAAGUAAUGUGUAGGAUAGGUGGGAGGCUAUGAAGCUGGCACGCUAGUGUUGGUGGAGCCGUUGUUGAAAUACCACCCUUUGCUUACUUGGAGCCUAACUUCUGAAUAAGAGUAAGAAGGACAUUGCGUGGUGGGUAGUUUGACUGGGGUGGUCGCCUCCAAAAGAGUAACGGAGGCUUUCAAAGGUACCCUCAGCACGCUUGGUAACCGUGCGUAGAGUGUAAUGGCAUAAGGGUGCUUGACUGUGAGACCAACAAGUCGAUCAGGUGCGAAAGCAGGACAUAGUGAUCCGGUGGUUCCGUAUGGAAGGGCCAUCGCUCAAAGGAUAAAAGGUACUCCGGGGAUAACAGGCUGAUCCCCCCCAAGA
rnacentral:rRNA from 1 species